rnacentral:tRNA from 1 species
GGCCAGUUAGCUCAGUCAGUUGAGCGUGGUGCUGACAAUGCCAAGGUCGUGGGUUCAAUUCCCAUUUGCCU